CCCACUUUGCCCAUCCCCCGCCCCCCAUGUCCAUCCCCUCUGGCAACCUUUUCAUGAGCCAAAUUUCAACAACAGCUGUUGAACGGUAUUUAAAGGGUGCAUUAUUUGUAGAAAUCUCUUUUCAGGAGUACUGGAAAUUUUUAACUUUUAUAUAUUAGCUGAAAGAAAAAGAAGGCACUUUAUUAUAUUCCAAUAAGCCCUCUCCACCCCUUUUGUUUCUUGAUGUGAUACUGGUUCUCUAGCUUUCUUCCCCCCCCCUUCCCUUCCUCCUCCUCUUCCUCCCCUUCCUCCUCCUCCUCCUCCUCCUCCUCUUAUAAAAUAACUUCACCAUCUUUACUAGUGCAAACCUCACAUUGAUUCUGAUGAAAGAAGCAAUAGAAUUUCUGGACACUGUGUACUUUUAGAUAAUGCACCUCUACAAUGAAUCAGUUUCUUUUUCUAAUUUUGCAGAUCAUUUAGCAAAGUGUACAUCCUACAAUGGAUUGUGUAAGUGCUUUUUCAUGUGUGAGCUUAUUAUAAUUCCUUUGGAAAUUUUUCUUUGUGAUUUUAACAUCCUCUGGGGUAGGGUGCUAAUGUUCUGUAUUUGCUUUUGUUUUUAUUUUGCUCUGGUUGCCUUUUAAAUCCAACAGUCACUUCUCUUUCCUCGUGAUAAUCACUUCUGUUAUGAUCUGAGAGCAUUUUGUUUUUCUUCACUGUAAUCCUAGCUGAUUGUACAAUAUCUUCAUUGUUGCUCAGUAAGUCUGGAGGUUUCAGCUGCAGGGUCCAAACAUGAUGAGCUUCAGUCAUGGCUACUGACGGGGUCUCAGGCUUUCAGCUGGUCUUUGGAACAACCUUAUGUACUGCCUUUAAUAUCAUGUCAUUGGACAUUUGUUCUUCUGGAUGAUCUGAUGGAGAUUACACUUCAGAAUCACUUCCUUGGAAUGCCAAAGAUGCAUUUUCCUCUCAUUCAUUAAGGAGGAAAAAAGAAAGAAAAUAUAAAAUGAAUGAAUUGAAGAGUCUGCCUGACAGAGUCUGCAUCGUCACCCUCCCAGUAGAUGAGCUUUCAAGCAAACCUCCAGGAGAAGCAAAACCUUUCCAGGAAACCCGUGUCUUUGCAAACAAGGACAGCAGGUUUCUCUGUACUGUCGCUGCUCGCUCUCCCAUCUGGGAAUCGGUUUGCCUUUCUAUAGCAGCCCAGGAAGGGGUGGUGCGCCCCAAGUUAGCAAGGCUCUGCCAAAUACCAGAGGCUCUUCUUUGGAAGAGGGAGGCUCCUCCUUUGGACGGGAGGCGCCCCUACCAGAGCGCGCGCUUACAGAAACGGAAACCACUAGCUGCGCUGAAGUGA
rnacentral:lncRNA from 1 species